AUCCAAACGGUUCUUAAACACAUCCAGGGAUGGUGAUUCAACCAUCUCCCUGGGGAUCCUCUUCCAGUGCUUAACAACCUCUUAACAGUCCUUUCAGAAAAGAACUUUUCCCUGAUAUCCAACCUAAACCUCCCCUGGUGCAACCACGAGCCAUUCUAAGGAGGUAUCUGUCUCCUAACCUGUGUGGGUCUGUUGCCUCUGUUUUUAAAGAUAGCCGCAGCUGACACUAGCAGGCUGAAGACACAAUAGUACUGAAGGAAUUCUGUUUUCCAUUGGUUUUAGAAAGGAAAAAGAACUAAGUUGUGUUGCCCUGGAGUAAUGUUUGUCUUGCUUGGGUACAUUCUCAGAUUGUGGUAAUGCAUUUUGAGGAUGCUCGAGUAAAUAUGUUGCUGUUCUUAGUGUCACGCUAUGUUUUACCAUUUAAUUGCAACCUUUCUUCAAGACACAGAUUGGCAACAACAGAGCUUGCUUUAAUUUAAUUGGGUUCUUGCUAAAGUUGUUACACAAAACUGGCUUGACCCUCUACCAGAAGCCUGGGAAACUCAAUCACGCUCUUUGAAUGCUCCAGAAUGAGCAAUGCUUCCCUCCUUGCGAGCACAGCGUUAAACAAUGGUUUUAUACAAACAGAACUUCUUGUAGGGGAGAAGAAAAGCAAAACCAACACGUCUCUUUGGGAAACCUGAACAAUUCAAAGUAGACAAGUCUGCUGCUGCCAAGGCUGUGCUGGCAGUGAUCCUGGCCAAACCCUCAGCCCGUAGCUGUGAGUAACUGGCAGCCAUUUGCUUCUCCAGUCAUCAGCCGAUGGCUGUAUCUAGAGGAGCCCAGCUGGGUACACGCUGCCCUAAAACUUACCCCAGCUUAAUCACUCGCCGUAAUGCUGUUGAAUAGCUUUAGCCUGUCAGUCUUUCCUAAUUCCUCUCUCUUCCUUAUUGGGUUCAACACUCGCCCUUCUGUUCCACUUGGCUGCCUCUCAGCACAGCCCACAUGGUAUUUUCGUUCUGUUAGAAAGGGGUCAAUCACAAGAAUCCAUACAAAGAUGUUGCAACAGAAGGGAAACUUCCUGAGCAGAGGUGUGUGCAGUUUCCUUGUGUUUUGGCUGUUGGUUGGUUGCUUGCUUUCUGGUUUGAUUUUUGCUUUGUUUCUUUAUUUUGCUUUUGCUUUUAAUUUUUAUUAUUGCUCUCCAGGAACCUUUGGAGCCUUCUUUGCCUGGGGCUCCUUUGUGGCAGAGUUGCAAUCCGUGUCAGGGAGUUUAGUGUAGUAUUUUUCAAACCCUGUGUCUGGGAGGACUCGGAGGUGGCUGUGAGUCACUCACAGUAGCCAGCAGACAGCUUUAAUUGCUGGCAGUAGCUCAGUUUCUUCAGAGCGUGAGAGCAAGCUUCUAAUUACACCACAUUUUUACUCCCUUGUCCUGGAGGAGCUGAGAUGGUACUGGCAUUUAUAGGUAGUUGUUUCCAUCCACUAGCUGCUAUAAUGCUUAUGUGGAGAGACUUUACAAAAUAAAGUAUUUAUUUUCAAUGUAUGUAUGCAAAUAAAGGUUCCUAAUUGAGGCUGGCCUUUCAGAGCAUUUGAGAAAUGGAGUUUGGUAUGGUAUCUUGUCCCGGAUGGGACAGGAAAAGUGUCACUACUAAGACUGUAUCUUCCCCAACUUAAAAUGCACUGCAUUAGGAGGAGUGCCUCAGGAAGUUCUGACCUGCUGCAGGCAAAGUAUGGGCAGUUCUGGCCAACUUCCACGACUUCCUAGGAGAGCCUUUCAGGGUAGGUAUCCAUAGAUAUACCCAUGUUUUCCCUUCCUGCGUGGCUGGUGAAUGAAGAGCAAAGAGAUGAUGGCACAGCCGUGUUCUCGUUUUGAAUGCUCCUUGUUUGCGCCAAGGUCCUCUAGGUACCGUUAUCAUCCAGCAUAUGUUACAGGAGCCUGAAUAAUCUGGCAUGGAAGGCCAAAUAACAUUAGUUGGCUUUUGGCUUUCCCUUUUCCCCAGUCCUUGGUGAUCACAGACAGCAGAGUGUCUUCCCAGGGCCGAAUCACGGCGUAUGGCCUGCUCUCACAUCAGCUGCAGGUGCCAGCUUAUUGUAACACCAUUCUUCCUUCCACCAUCCCAAUUGAGCUGACAGAAGUUUUGCCAGUAGACUUUCUGCAUGUGAGGUGCCUUGGCAGCCUUGACUCCUUCCUUCACAUCGUCAGGCAAGGUAACAAUUGGUGCAGCAGCCAGAACUCUUCUCUCAUGCUUCUUCUGCAGUGCGUUGCUAGCUUGGCAAGCGAGGGACAGCAGCUGCUCUGAGUGCUCUCUCUUCAUGUAAGAGCCAAUGAUGUGAUUUUACAGGAAGCAAUGGGGGGGAAAAAUCAAGGGUGGGCUGAGUGUAAUCACACAGCUCGUUCUAUUUCUUCCACUAAAACAUUUCAGGCCCAGCUAAAGACCCAGGUUUGUAAUUCCUCAUCAGACGGACAUUUCCCCUGAACACCACAGCCUGCACCAGGCUGAAUAACCGUGGCCUAAAUAUUUACUUGUGUGUGUUUUUCUAAACGUCUCCAAAGUGGUUUUGCAACCUGUUUACAAGGAUUGCUUUGUCCUUUGCUGAUUGUUCAGACCGAGUAUUUAUCAAACUUGUGCUGCCAAAAGCUGGUAGAAAGAAAUGAUCCAGCCUGGUAUUUAGCUUGGAUUCUAUAGCGAACAUUCUUACAAGGAUGAGAAUUGCAAAAGGAGUUUUAAAUGAACAUGAGUGGGCAAGGACUUGCUUCUGGUUUUCCUGCAAAAGAUCCUUUGUUGGGAACGUUCCCCUCUGUUGUCUUUUAAAGCUGGCUGGAAGAAAAGAAUGCUUUGAGGGAACCCACUACCUGAGCUCCAUUUAUACACUUAGCUAUUGUGAUGAUGGGGACGGGUUCUUUUUCUCAGCGAACCAAUGAAAUCGUGUGCACUUUGGGGGUAAUUUGUGUCGCGGUUCAUCACAGGAUGAGUUAGGGGGAUCUGAACAUGUCCAUCACCUUUAGAAAAGGAGUGUGCUUUAGGGCUGUUAAACUGCAGUGAAGAAGCUGAAAAAUGUUCUCUAGCAGUCAGAGCUCACUCUAGAUAGAUUCUCAGCUCAAAAAACCAACAACAACCAAAAAAACAAAACAAUUUCUUGCCCACAGGGAGUUAUUUAGCUCGCUAAAAUGAAUGUGGUUUGAAUGGGAUCCUGAAAGUCUAACUCGGCAGAAGGCUCACAUGGCUGUAACUUGAGACUGCUCCAAGUUGGUGAUUUCUAGCUAUGGGAGCAGCUGUGAACAGAAGACCCAGCUGACAGGUUGCAGGAGCGCUGACCCCUUGUAGAUAGAAAGCUGGCAAUGGGAAGUGUGCUGAUGGGAACUUGCCUUCCUGGGAGCCCGCCUAAGCACGGUGAUCUGCAUGGCGCACCUGAUCCAGUAGCUGGGCUAGCGGCCUCUCCUUGGAUGAAAGUUAAGUUGUCUUAUAGCAAAGGUUAAUUGGAGAGCAAAGUCCAUUCCUAUAAGCUGUAGGUUGAAUAACCUGCUACACAACUCUUUUGCUGACUUUCUUGGCAUUAAUGCAGGUGGAAACUGUCUUAAGCUGCUGCAUGUGUUCAGCUCAGCCAGGUUCAUGGAGCAGUGGGGUUAUGACUGUCUGGAGAGACCAACCCUAGCUAUGCUUAUUUAUUUGAACUGUGGCAUGUCUAGGGGCUGUGACCAACAACAGGGUUAAAUAAAACAGGCAAUUUUUUACAAUGAAACCUGUAAUUACUUCAGUGUUUGCAACCUUUAUUAUGCCAAUGCUGUAACUUGGCUGUUAAAAACCAGUCUGACCAAACUUUGUGAUGGAAUAGUACAUCUCCAGGACAUUGCUGGAGGACUGAGACAAAUGUGCCUCAUUCUCUUGUCUCAGCAUUUCAUCUGCUAAAAAGCAAAGCCCUUCAGCACAAUGAGAAAAAUGAAUAGUCCAGAAUUAAAGCUAUCAAUGCGGUGGUUUCUUUCCCCUCUUGUCUGGCUGAGGCUUUAAAACUGAUCAUCUGAUUGUCAUCAUGUUUAUCCUUUUGAAGCUCCUUGGGUUUGAAGUAUCCGCACAGCUCAUUAGUACCCAAGCUGCAGAUCUUUUGUGUGUUGUCUGCUCUGCUCCAGGUGUCCUUGCCUUGCCAUGCUUUUCCUCGUCAGGAACUUUGCUGGGCAGUGAUCCAAAGUGAACAAAGCACACAGGAGCCAGCCAAAGAAAAUACAGCUCGGAAAAUACCACCAGUUCUCCAGGCAUUUGCAGAUUAGAAUAUGUAACCGUUUCUACUGGUGGUUUUUAAACCAGGAUUUGACAGGCUUGGGUAUAUUUGGAAAAUCUGUUGGGUGAAAUUUUACCGUUUUCCUUCUAAAUUAUAAGAAAGUGAAUAAGACUGGGGUUAGAGAAUUGAGUGUGGGUUUUGGAGCUUUGGAGAUAGAAGGGGGGGCAGGAAGGCCUGGUAGUUAGGAAUAGGAUGGAGGGUCUGCACAGGGGGAUUAAUGCAUCUUUUGGAUGCCAGCUCUGACAGAAAGCUCAGGAGUCAAACUACUGAUUUGAGGUGGGUCGGAUUGGAUCGGUUCCUCUGUCUUGUUCUUGUCAGUGAGAGUCCCAGCUGGUUUUCAUAUCCCCUCCUGAGCACUUGCAUGGACUCUGUGUACUGGUGCUCAUCACAGCUGCCCUGAGGCGUGUAAUGCAUCCUGUGCUCUGGGACCCUGGCAGUCACAAGUUACAGUGCUGCACAUUUCAAGGUGUUUUUUUAAGCAGAGACUUGAGAUGCACCGUCUCACACUUUCCCAAUGGUGAAGUAGGGAAGGCAUUUGUUUUAUAUUUUAUACUUAUGCUGUACAAUGUGAGUGCUUGGGCUGGAAGCACUGUCUGGUGAUGAUGAUGACUAAUUAAUAGAUAUCUGAAGUGCUGUAGCUUAGGCUGCGGCUGUAACCUAGAAUUGCUGAGAAUAUUUUGCUCCCCUUCUUAAACUGGGGAGCGGGAGGAGAGGAAAUAAAUGGGUGUAUUAGAGGGCAGCCUGGGGGGCACGGAGACUUGGGGCUUAAUGAAGAGAGCUGCCCUGCUGCCAACUCUGCAUAUCUCCAUGCAUUGGAAGCUUUCAUGGUUCUUAUGCUCCUGGUGGCAUAAAUUAUCUGAGUAGCAGCCCAGGUCAUUUAACAUAUUUUUAUAUCUAGCAAGGAAGAAAAUCUAGGCAAGUGCUGCUGUUUCAUUUCAACAUUCGCACACCCACUUAGAUGUGGAAAUCAAGCGGUGUAACCUAACGUUCCGGUAAUGCUGAGUGGCACUUACCUGCAGGAGGUUACAGCUCCGUGUUUUCCCUUCUUCACUGACUGUGUCUGUGCGAGAUGCCUGAAACAGAAAUGUGACAACUUGACCAGGAGCAGCCCAGCAGGAUCUCGACUCAAAACAGUUCUUGCAUUGAGCAGGGGCCAUGUGACAAUGUUUGUCAUGCCCAUUCAAGUUGAGCCCGGAAAUGAAAGGUCAGGUUACCUUCCUCAGGCUGUUACGGCUCUCGCUUUUCGUUAGCGCUGCUGGCUAUUCCUUCUCUUUCCUCAAAGAGAUGUAGUAUUAAUGCCAUUGCUAACGCAGCUUAAAAGUAAUGGGAUGUGACAUUUCAAAGUACUGCUGACUUUUAGCAGCUGAUGUGUUUUACAACCUCUUGACGUUUAGCUGUGAAAACUGCCCCAUGGGCCAAGUCCUGCUCGUUUAUGAUGCCUUUCACAAAUGACACCUUCUCAGAGUGAAGUGGAGAUGGGGAAGAAUGGAAAAACAUUUAAAGCUUACAGAAACAGAGCGCCAAAAGGAGGGAUCGAGGGUUUAGAAUGCAAGGUGUCCCCUGAAAGUGACCCAAGAGCAACACCCAGGUCCAGGUGACUCAUGAUUGCGUGCUUAACUGGCUGAUUCCAUUAUACUGCCUUCAAAUGGCAUCUGCCAGGUCAGCUGUCUGCUUGGAGAAGUAUACAGAGCUGUGCAGAACGGUGCCUGCUCAGAACUCUACUUUGCUUGCCAUAGAUGAGCAUAAAUGCAGGAUUUCUCUUUGCUCUGUGGAGGGUUUCCCUGCAAAGCUGCCAGGCUUUGUGCACUUCAGAUAGUCUAUUGCUGUAUCCUGGCAAGUUUCAUAGUGCUACACAGGUCUGUUACAUUCUCCCUGUCUCUCUUUCCCUUCCACAGUUAUUCCAUUUGCCAUUCUCUGCCGUGUCUGUGUGGAAA